rnacentral:rRNA from 1 species
UCGGGCGAGCCGGGCACUCUGGAGGGACUGCCGGCGACAAGCCGGAGGAAGUGGGGAUGACGUCAAGUCAUCAUGGCCCUUAUGUCCAGGGCGACACACGUGCUACAAUGGCCGGCACAGCGGGAAGCGGAGGGGCGACCCGUGAGCGGAUACCCUUGAAAGCCGGUCCCAGUUCGGAUUGCAGUCUGCAACUCGACUGCAUGAAGUUGGAAUCGCUAGUAAUCGCGGAUCAGCCAAGCCGCGGUGAAUACGUUCCCGGGCCUU